AUGGGUCAGCCACUACUUCCUUCAAAGUUAAGACAGGAAGUAGCCAGCUCACACUUCUGAGACAUCCCUACAGGAAUGAAAAAUAUCCCCUUCUCCUGGAAAAUGGGCUUUUGCUUUUAGGCAACUAGUGUGGCAGACUCACUUUCGGAUGUGACCCAUGGACCCCAAAUUUACAUUUCUGCCAUUGGUGGAAGUUACAGUGAGGAUGAGAACAGGACCACCCCAUUCCCACCUCUCUCUCCGCAGACUCUUGUUGGCCAUUAGCACUCCAUCGAUUUCCUUUUUUACUGUGUUAAACUGAGUUGUCAUUUUACUCUUGUGGAAGAGAUCGUUCACCAUAAUGGUCAUUUACGGCUUACUUGUGUUUAACCAGGUUAAAAAGAAAAAAAAAGAGUCAGACAUUUUCCCACCUCCCGGUAUACAAAACACAAGUCGAGUGAAGUAUUCUUUUCUUGUCUGGUGACUCCCAAGGUUUACCUCAGCUGUCCUCUGGAGGCUGAGUUAGAGCAAGCAGCAGACCACUGUGCCGAUGGUGCACAUCCUGGUCACCCACCAGCCACUUGUUUCCGUCACAUUUUCUCCAGGUUUUUACUUAAUCCUGAGAGGAAGAAUCCUCACAGAUCCCCUGGGCUACCUCUGGUCUACACUGUGUAAGCGCCCAUGGUUUUUACCUCCGGUCUACACUGAGUAAGCGCCCAGGGCUUUUACCUCCGGUCUACACUGUCAGGAGACUUUUACAAAAAGCCACAACUGGUCAAGAUGGAGAGAACACCUGACUAGAGUAACCAGUCCCAGAUGAUACAGCUGCACCACAACGUCUGAACCUAAGGCUCACAAAACAUCACCGAAGAGGAGGCAGAAAGACUGUGAGAGCCAGAGGACCAGGAAAUCUGCUGGGAGACUCUGCUUUCUAGCUAUGAUGGUGUAUUGGUUACUUUUCUACUGCUGUGAUAAAACACCAUGAUCAACACAAUUUACAGAAGGAAAGAUAAGUCUGGCUGCAGGAGCAAAAGAAGAGCCAGUCUAUGAGCCGAUCCGCACUGUUUAAAGUACACAAAAGUCGAGGUCCUGAAUCAGCUGCCUUGUAUGGAACACACAGAAUCAAACUCCGCCAAGAGACCAGAGACUGUACCCGAG